rnacentral:rRNA from 1 species
UACGGGGGGGGCAAGCGUUGUUCGGAAUUACUGGGCGUAAAGGGCUCGUAGGCGGCCAACUAAGUCGGAUGUGAAAUCCCCAGGCUCAACCUGGGAACUGCAUCCGAUACUGGAUGGCUUGAAUUCGGGAGAGGGAUGCAGAAUUCCAGGUGUAGCGGUGAAAUGCGUAGAUAUCUGGAGGAAUACCGGUGGCGAAGGCGGCAUCCUGGACCGACAUUGACGCUGAUGAGCGAAAGCCAGGGGAGCGAACGGG